CUUUGGUCUUCUCUUCUGCAUUUUCUCACUUUAUUAUACAUAUGCAAUAACAUUUUGUACUGCAUGUUUGCAAAUAUAUAGUGUGCAACAAACAGAUUGUGGGGUAAACGUCAAUGAGACAGCAACCUAGCGACAAAAAUAUGCAAACGACAUGUGCACGCUGAACGGAGAAAAGGAGAUGCGAGUUUCCCUCCAUGAGACAGCAUCCCAACGACUACAGAUAUAUAUGAAUGACAUAUUCACUUUGCUGAUGCUACCAUUUGUUUGGGUUUUUUUCAAGCUGUUUUUUUUUUUUUUUUU
rnacentral:lncRNA from 1 species